rnacentral:rRNA from 1 species
CGAGUCAUUGGGUGGUUCAAAACCCAAAAGGCGUAAUGAAAGUAAAGGGACGGCACCCCGUGCUUCCCGAGGGAGGAUGGGCGUAUCGGCGGCGAAUCCCCUCACGGGGUGACGCCGACGGAAGCUCCGCACUCCCGGGGCGUCUCCAACUCAUUGCGAGUGGAGGCGCACUCAGAGCGCACACGUUGGGACCCGAAAGAUGGUGAACUAUGCCUGGCCAGGACGAAGCCAGGGGAAACCCUGGUGGAGGUCCGUAGCGAUUCUGACGUGCAAAUCGAUCGUUAGAGCUGGGUAUAGGGGCGAAAGACCAAUCGAACCAUCUAGUAGCUGGUUCCCUCCGAAGUUUCCCUCAGGAUAGCUGGCGCUCGUGGUAUCUCGAGUCUCAUCCGGUAAAGCGAAUGACUAGAGGCAUUGGGGUCGAAACGACCUCAACCUAUUCUCAAACUUUAAAUGGAUGAGAACCCCGGCUUGCUUGAUGUGAAGCCGGGGCUCGGAUCAGAGUGCCAAGUGGGCCAUUUUUG